UGAAACAAAUGUGACAAGAAUUCUCUGUUAGAAGAACAGUUGAAUAAGGAUUUCAGAGAAUGAGAAGCACAGAAAAGGAGAAUUCCAAUUGAAUAAAGUCAUGGGAAGGGACACCCCAUCUGCUGGGCUUUAAGAUUAUCUAUUUUAGAUAAACUGAAAUGAAGCCAAGGAGGAAGAUGACUUGGAGUUUGUGUGAAGCAAGUGGACCUCUACAAAUAGAGAAGGUCAAGACAUGGAAUGACUAAUCUCACCUAAGUAGGAAUCUCCCUCUUUGUGAUACAUAUACCAAUGAAUAGAAGCCUAUUCAUUACAGUAUCGCUUAAAACAGGAAAAUAUUGAAAACCACAUAUUAAGUGAUCUGACAGAGAUCCCUCCUGAGUGCUUGGCAGCUCCUUUCAAUUUCUAUUUGUUCUGCAGAAUCUCUCUUGUUUUAUGACAAGAUUGGGAUGAUGCCAGUAGCUCAACAGUGAAAGCGAGAGCUCGGGAAGGAACAAGAGUCAUGCCUGCUGCCCCAAUUCCUGCAUUCCAGCUUCCUUCUCUCUUCUUCUUUGUGAGAUACUCCUGACAUGUAGCAUGGUAAAAGGGAAGUUACAUUACUUUAAGAGGUAACAGGUAAUGGAUUAAAAAAUUAGAAAGAAUGAAUAAGACCCAGCAUUUGCUGGCACAAAAGGGUGACUGUAGUAAAAAGUAAUUUAAGUGUUCGUUUUGAAAGAACUAAGGGAGCAUAAUUGGAUUGUCUGUAACACCAAGGAUAAAUGCUUGAGAUGAAGGAUACUCCAUUUACCCUGAUGUGGUUUUUAUACAUUGCAUGCCUGUAUCAAAAUGUCUCUUGUACCUCAUAAAUAUAUACAUCUACUAUGUUUCCACAAAAAUUAGAAAAAAAAAUUUAAAAAGAAAAAAAAUGAAUUGACACUUGUGUUGGGAUUCUGGCUAUGGCACCUGGGAAUAUGAGUAAUUGAACAUCUUUGAGGCUCAGGUACUUUUAUCUGGGAAACAGGAAUAAUAAUUUUUUUUUAAUUUAAUUAGUUAAUGGGAGGGUUGAAACAGAUAUUGUAUGUCAAAGUUACCUUUGCAUUAGAAAUGUUGAACAAAUGGUAUUCAUCCUCCUCACCUAAAAAAAUUAAAAUGAUGUAACAAUGUGAGAAAUAUAAAGAGUGCUAUCUUCUUUCUGGCUGAAUUUAAUUCAUUUCCACUCAAUACAUUCUUUAAUUAGGUUGCCAUAGCUAAUGGAAAUUUGGUGAAUGGAGAGGGAAAUCUGGGAUUAUUGAUGGUGAUUCUUUGCAUUAAUUUCGUGCACAGGUAUAUAGGCCUGCACUUGUACUGUGGUCAUAAUUUAA